rnacentral:rRNA from 1 species
AUUGAACGCUGGCGGCAGGCCUAACACAUGCAAGUCGAGCGAGCGGCGGACGGGUGAGUAACGUCUGGGAAACUGCCUGAUGGAGGGGGAUAACUACUGGAAACGGUAGCUAAUACCGCAUAACAUCAGAUGUGACCAGAUGGGAUUAGCUAGUAGGUGGGGUAACGGCUCACCUAGGCGACGAUCCCUAGAUGGUCUGAAAGGAUGACCGGCCCUACUGGAACUGAGAAACGGUCCAGACUCCUACGGGAGGCAGGAGUGGGGAAUAUUGCACAAUGGGCGCAAGCCUGAUGCAGCCAUGCCGCGUGUGUGAAGAAGGCCUUCGGGUUGUAAAGCACUUUCAGCGGGGAGGCGUUACCCGCAGAAGAAGCACCGGCUAACUCCGUGCCAGCAGCCGCGGUAAUUC